GGGUCAGUAGGUUGGUCGUGCCACCGGUACGUACUGGUCUCACUGAUUCCUCCUUCCUGGAAAACCGUAAUGCCAUUAAUUUGGUGUUGCGGGGAAACAGGACUGUUACUUUGAAAAAAUUAGAGUGUUUAAAGCAAGCUAACGCUUGAAUACAUUAGCAUGGAAUAAUGAAAUAGGACGAUCGAUCCUAUUUUGUUGGUUUCUAGGAUUGACGUA
rnacentral:rRNA from 1 species